AGAGUUUGAUUAUGGCUCAGGACGAACGCUGGCGGCGUGCCUAACACAUGCAAGUCGAGCGGGGACAUGCGACGGAAGUGAAGUUUCGGAUGGAGCGGAAGAUGUAUGUUCUAGCGGCGGACGGGUGAGUAACGCGUGAGCAACCUGUCCCUUACAGGGGGAUAACACAGCGAAAGUUGUACUAAUACCGCAUAAGACCACGGAUUCACAUGGAUCAGGGGUCAAAGGAGCAAUCCGGUAAGGGGUGGGCUCGCGUCCGAUUAGAUAGUUGGUGAGGUAACGGCCCACCAAGUCGACGAUCGGUAGCCGACCUGAGAGGGUGAUCGGCCACAUUGGGACUGAGACACGGCCCAAACUCCUACGGGAGGCAGCAGUGGGGAAUAUUGGGCAAUGGGGGGAAACCCUGACCCAGCAACGCCGCGUGAGGGAAGAAGGUUUUCGGAUCGUAAACCUCUGUCCUUGGUGAAGAGUAAGAGACGGUAGCCAAGGAGGAAGCCCCGGCUAACUACGUGCCAGCCGCCGC
rnacentral:rRNA from 1 species